GUGAAGAAGAGAAGACCCCUUGCACAGCAACUGCGGACACACGGUGUGAGUGCAAACCUGGAACUUUCCGUGAAGAAAACUCCUCCGAGUUCUGCCAGAAGUGCCACACCAGGUGCCCUGAUGGGAUGGUCAUGGCCACGCCGUGUACCCCUCGAGUGACCUCAAGUGUGUGCAUCAAGAGUCAGGUACCCGGGCCAGUGGGGAGGCCCUGGAUCCUGGAGAGCCAGUGACCAUGAACCUGCAACCGCCCGCCCACCUUCCCCUCCUCAAGCAAUUCCCUACUGGCGGCUGGAAUCGCAUUUCUUCUUGUAGUUGUCCCUUUAGCGGUGGUGAUCGCAUGCUGCCUCUGCAAGUGCAAAGUUCAAGGUUGUGGACUGCACCGCAAAUUCAUGGACAAAGUGAGUUGGUUUCUCCAGGACCUGGUGGCCUCAGGCCCUCAGCAACGGCUUCCCACCCACCCCAGGGCCCCGGGUGGACACAGUGCCCAGUUUGUCCUGUGCUAUGGUCCCUGGCUCUGUCAAGUGGGGUGGGGGCUCUGGGCUGACUGUAGGGGCGCCAUUGGUCUGUUGAGAGCAGCCCUAAGGCGGGUUGGCAGGGCUAGUGCAGUGCUUCUUAGUGCUUGCAAGACACCCUCACCUCCUAACCCUAGAUGGACCCUGGGCUUGGGGUUGUCCAGCAGGGGUGCUGAGCCCCCUUAGCACAGCAC
rnacentral:lncRNA from 1 species